GAUGAAGAACGUAGCGAAAUGCGAUACGUAAUGUGAAUUGCAGAAUUCAGUGAAUCAUCGAAUCUUUGAACGCAUAUUGCGCUCUUUGGUAUUCCGAAGAGCAUGCUUGUUUGAGUAUCAGUAAACACCUCAAAGCUUUUGGAUUUUUUAAUCGAAAAGCUUUGGACUUGAGCAAUCCCAACACCAAUCUUUUUGAGAUCGGUGGCGGGUUGCUUGAAAUGCAGGUGCAGCUGGACAUUCUCCUGAGCUAAAAGCAUAUUCAUUUAGUCCCGUCAAACGGAUUAUUACUUUUGCUGCAGCUAACAUAAAGGGAGUUUGACCGUAUUGGCUGACUGAUGCAGGAUUUCACAAGGGUCGGCAACGAUUCUUGUUAAGCUCGAUCUCAAAUCAAGUAAGACUACCCGCUGAACUUAAGCAUAUCAAUAAGCGGAGGA
rnacentral:misc_RNA from 1 species